UGUUGCUCCCGGUCUGCACGUUUUACGUUGCUUAAGUGUGGAUCAAUUGAGACGGCGUGGUGUCCAGAGAGCUGCAGAGACUUCGGGAGAAACCUCAGCGUGACGGAUGACCUGUCUGUGGGUUUGGCUGGAGAGGACUGAGGUGGAGAGGUCUUUCUCUGGGAGGAGGAGCAGGCCUGAUGGAGGAGGACCAGGCCUGAUGAAGAAACCAACAAACUGCAUCUGUGAGCCCAUACUGGGCACAGCUGUCACAAACAAAUGAUGGUCCUGUUUGACUACACACUAUUCAGUGUGCAGAUCUUUGUGUUCACAAUAAAAGAGUAGUUUCUUAGUAUUACUAAAUUAACUGCUUUAAUCUCA